rnacentral:rRNA from 1 species
UGUCUUGGGCUGCACACGUGCUACAAUGGCCGGUACAAUGAGCUGCGAUACCGUGAGGUGGAGCGAAUCUCAAAAAGCCGGUCUCAGUUCGGAUUGGGGUCUGCAACUCGACCCCAUGAAGUCGGAGUCGCUAGUAAUCGCAGAUCAGCAUUGCUGCGGUGAAUACGUUCCCGGGCCUUGUACACACCGCCCGUCACGUCACGAAAGUCGGUAACACCCGAAGCCGGUGGCCCAACCCCUUGUGGGAGGGAGCUGUCGAAGGUGGGACUGGCGAUUGGGACGAAGUCGUAACAAGGUAGCCGUACCGGAAGGUGCGGCUGGAUCACCUCCUUUCU